CCCUUAGAUGUUCUGGGCCGCACGCGCGCUACACUGACGAUGGCAACGAGUUUUUCCUUCGCCGAAAGGUGUGGGUUAUCUUUUGAAACAUCGUCGUGCUGGGGAUAGAUCAUUGCAAUUUUUGAUCUUGAACGAGGAAUUCCUAGUAAGCGCGAGUCAUCAGCUCGCGUUGAUUACGUCCCUGCCCUUUGUACACACCGCCCGUCGCUACUACCGAUUGAAUGGUUUAGUGAGGACUCCUGAUUGGCGCCGCCGCCCCGGCAACGGAGCAGCGGACUGCCGAAAAGUUGUUCAAACUUGAUCAUUUAGAGGAAGUAAAAGUCGUAACA
rnacentral:rRNA from 1 species